GUGGGGAAUAUUGGGCAAUGGGGGCAACCCUGACCCAGCGACGCCGCGUGGGUGAAGAAAUCCCUCGGGAUGUAAAGCCCUGUUGUAUGGGAAGAGCAGAAGACGGUACCAUACGAGGAAGCCCCGGCAAACUACGUGCCAGCAGCCGCGGUAAUACGUAGGGGGCAAGCGUUGUCCGGAAUUACUGGGCGUAAAGCGCACGCAGGCUGAAUUAUAAGUCGGUAGUCAAAUACGGAGGCUCAACUUCCGGAUAUCUAUCGAUACUGUAAAUCUAGAGUAUGUGAGAGGGAAGCGGAAUUCCCGGUGUAGCGGUGAAAUGCGUAGAUAUCGGGAGGAAUACCGAUGGCGAAGGCAGCCAUCUGGCCUAAUACUGACGCUGAGGUACGAAAGCAUGGGGAGCAAACAGGAUUAGAAACCCCUGUAGUCC
rnacentral:rRNA from 1 species